rnacentral:rRNA from 1 species
GCCUCCAAUUGUCUCUCGUAAACAAAGCGGGAGACUUUUCUGGAGUGUAAGGAGCUCCAGGAACAAGGGGUGGGCAUGACUGCCGCCAGCCGUCGCGGUAAUAGCACCACACCAAGUGGUGGCCACGAUUAUUGUGCUUANAGCGUCCGUAGUCGACCUUGUGAGUCCGCUGUGAAAUCUGNCCGGUCUAUCGUCAGAGUCGCAACGGAUACCACUAGGCAUCNUACCGGAGGGCGCCGAGGCUAUUCNCGGGGUAGCGGUGAAAUCCUAAAUUCCUGGGAAGAGCCCCAGUGGCGAAAGCGCUUGGCGACUUCUGGUGCGAUGGUGACGGACGAAAGCCAGGGGAGCAAACGGGAUUAGAUACCCCCGUAGUCCUGUCUGUAAACGAUGCCCGCCUGAUGUCAGCAGUCCUCCGAGGACAGCUGGUCUCUAAGGAAAAACGAUAAGCGGGCCGCCUUGGAAGUACGGUAGCAAGGCUGAAACUUAAAGGAAUUGGAGUG